CAUCAGUUGUCAGCGGGAAAAAAAGACUCGCAAUCCAUGACAGUUAAAAUAUUUUUAUUUUUUUAUACAAAAUAUUUACAAACUUGUAGUUAUUAACAUCGUUAAAUAUAUGUAAGUUAACUCCUAAUGUGGUAUUAAUUUAAGAAAAAAAAACAUGUUUGUUGAUCGGUAAGUUAUCACGACGGGCUAUGGGCGCCGCCAUUAUUUGUUUACAACACUGAUGGAGAGUUGGACUUAGAGCCUGCUGGAUUUACAACAUGCAAGAUCAUCCAUGUUUCCCGAAAUAUAUGACUGUAACCCCCGCUUCACUGCAUCUCACGCGACGCUCCUGCUUGACGCUCACACGCUGCUUCUGGAGUGAAUGCACUCAUUGAUUAACAUGCACGCACGUCUGAAAAAAUACCCGCUGUUCACGCGUCGCUGACACUUGCGUUGUGAAACAGCUGUUAUCUACAAGACAGCACAUGUACGUCUGGCCGACGUCGGCCCAAUAUCGAAACGUCGGUCUCUAUACCUAAAACAUCUAUAAAACAUCGGCCUGGCGGAGGCCGAUAUAAUUUGGUCAGUGCUCUGUUCUCCAGCUCAUCAAUCGUCGGCCCUGAGUUGGUUCACGACCGCGGGCCGAUGCCGCGCUUCUCUGUGUGCGCGUGCCCAGUAUUCGUCUCUUUUAGCCACCCAGAGAGAGAGAAGAGGAUAAUCCCAGCGACAUCUGUGGCUCUCAGGCUUUCAGAAAUAAUCCGGUGAAAUAAUAUGGUGAGCUAUUGUUGCUGUUGCUUCUGAACUACAAAAUGAUUUUUAAAUUUAUUAUUGAAUGAGACUGUACAUUAUAAAUGUAAUGCUUUAACUCUAGAUGUUUGUGUAAAUGCUGUGUGUGCGUUGAGUCCUGCGCCAGGCUGCGCGAGCGGGGAGCAGAGUUGCCAUGGAAACGGGGCAUCAACACAAAAACCGUUACUGGCAAGCAGUAAUCUCCGUCUCUCGCUGCAGUUUACACUGUUUUGGGAGGACAGAAAGAAACUCUACAGAACAGAAGUGAAGCUCCGAGAUUUCAA